CCCAUACCAAUGUUGCAUGAUGGCAGUUUAGGUCAUUUGAAGCAAUUUCUUUCCCAGAUCUGCAAGAAGAAAUGUCCUGAUGCGCAUUGAUCUUGCUUACUAAUACUUAAAAUCAUAGGAUUAUAGAAUAAUUCAAGUAGAAAAGAGUAUCAAGUUUCACUAUCCAGCUCAAGUAGGGUCUGCUGCAAGAUGAUAACACAUUGCUCAGGGAUCACAUAAGUUCUGAAACCCUCCUUAUUGUGACAAAACUUUCCUUAUGUUCAGCCAAAACCAUUUCUGUUUCAGCCUCUGCCUGUUGCCUCUCAUCCCAGAGAAGAGCCUGGAUUCAUAUUCCUGACAAGAUCCUCAGACUCUAAUGCAUCAUUUAUCAGGCUAUGAGGGAGCUGUUUCUCCAGUCCUAUUUGCAUGGAGGAAAGCAGAGCAAGAAAUUUCCCUCUCCAGAUUGACUCAGGCAACGAAGCUGAUCCAAAGUGAGUGCAAAACAAGAAAUACUUGGAUGGCUUCAGUCUCUUUUAGGACCCACGAAACAAGAGAUCUUAAGGAAUGGCAAAUCUGUAAAGGACUGGAUGUGUUUCAGAUCCGCUUCUCAAGGGAAGGAUUUCUUAGAGAACUUUAUCCUUUACAGUCUGGGGGAUUCAGCUGGAAGUCUUGUGAAGGCAUGGAUUUUAUGUGGGAUUGCUUUGGUGUUUCCUUUGGUCAGGGGAGUGAAAGGAAUGAACAGUUCUCACUGAAAGCUGUAGGGAAACUGCUCCCAGUCCUGGCAGAACCAAAGGAGACAGAAAUGACUAAAAAUGAGAAAAGCGAGGAAAAUAAAGCUUAGCUGGCUUUCCAUUGUUGGAGGGUUAUUGUGGGAUGUAUGCUUGGAUCUCUUUAAUCUACCCUGCUUCUCGGUUAGUGACUUUUAAAACUUGGUUUAAUUAUUUUUUUUCUUUCAGUUUUCAUAUGAUUGUUUUCCUGAUAAUUUUUGAAGGAAUAAAUCUAGUUAUCCUUAUUAAUAAAAUUGUUCU
rnacentral:lncRNA from 1 species